CACAUAUCCUACAGCGGCUUUAUCAGUGCCAAUUGUGACAGUAGCACCUGGCCCACAGGUCACAGGGCCACCAUAGUGGAGAGGCUAAAACUGUCAUCCCUAAGUCCCCCUCCCUUUCCCAUGACCUAUGGCCCUGCAGACCUGCCUAGGGCCAAAACACAGAAUGUGAGCCCCACCUCCUAAUGUCAGAGCCACUAAAGCAGAGGGGAUUACAGGCCACGUUGAGAGGACAAAGGUCCAAGCUGCCUCUCCCUGGUGCUCCCUCCCCCAGUGUUCUGAGGCACCUGCAGGAAGUGGCCAGGUGUCCCCUGGUGACAGCACCCUCCGGAAACUGUCUGUAUCUCCCUAGUACAGGACUCUGCUUGGUUUGAACCCUGGCUCUACCAUGUCACCUGGUCAUCAGCAGGACAGGGCUCUCAGAAAAGACACAAAGCACAGUGGUUAAAGGCACCUUACCUCA